UGCAAGUCGAACGAUGAACCUCACUUGUGGGGGGAUUAGUGGCGAACGGGUGAGUAACACGUGAGUAACCUGCCCUUGACUCUGGGAUAAGCCUGGGAAACCGGGUCUAAUACUGGAUACGACCUUCUGGCGCAUGCCAUGUUGGUGGAAAGCUUUUGUGGUUUUGGAUGGACUCGCGGCCUAUCAGCUUGUUGGUGGGGUAAUGGCCUACCAAGGCGACGACGGGUAGCCGGCCUGAGAGGGUGACCGGCCACACUGGGACUGAGACACGGCCCAGACUCCUACGGGAGGCAGCAGUGGGGAAUAUUGCACAAUGGGCGCAAGCCUGAUGCAGCGACGCCGCGUGAGGGAUGAAGGCCUUCGGGUUGUAAACCUCUUUCAGUAGGGAAGAAGCCGGCCUUUUGGGUUGGUGACGGUACCUGCAGAAGAAGCGCCGGCUAACUACGUGCCAGCAGCCGCGGUAAUACGUAGGGCGCAAGCGUUAUCCGGAAUUAUUGGGCGUAAAGAGCUCGUAGGCGGUUUGUCGCGUCUGCCGUGAAAGUCCGGGGCUUAACACCGGAUCUGCGGUGGGUACGGGCAGACUAGAGUGCAGUAGGGGAGACUGGAAUUCCUGGUGUAGCGGUGAAAUGCGCAGAUAUCAGGAGGAACACCGAUGGCGAAGGCAGGUCUCUGGGCUGUAACUGACGCUGAGGAGCGAAAGCAUGGGGAGCGAACAGGAUUAGAUACCCUGGUAGUCCAUGCCGUAAACGUUGGGCACUAGGUGUGGGGGACAU
rnacentral:rRNA from 1 species